rnacentral:rRNA from 1 species
CUGGAGGGCCUGCCCUAAAGGCACCAGAUCCCACCUGAUCUUGGAAGCUAAUCAGGGUCAGCUCUGGUUCCUACUUUGAUGGGAGAGUGGCAGGGAAUACCAGGUGCUAUAUGCU